GGUAUGGGAUGAGCUUGCGUCCGAUUAGCUAGUUGGCGGGGCAACGGCCCACCAAGGCGACGAUCGGUAGCCGGCCUGAGAGGGUGAUCGGCCACAUUGGGACUGAGAUACGGCCCAGACUCCUACGGGGGGCAGCAGUAGGGAAUAUUGCACAAUGGGGGGAACCCUGAUGCAGCAACGCCACGUGUGGGAAGAAGCAUUUCGGUGUGUAAACCACUGUCAUGAGGGAAUAAGGCCCGCCUUCGGACGGGAUUGAAUGUACCUUGAGAGGAAGCACCGGCAAACUUCGUGCCAGCAGCCGCGGUAAUACGAGGGGUGCAAGCGUUGUUCGGAAUUACUGGGCGUAAAGGGAGCGUAGGCGGAGAUUCAAGCGGAUUGUACAAUCCCGGGGCCCAACCCCGGCUCUGCAGUCCGAACUGGAUCUCUUGGAUAGUUCAGGGGCAGGC
rnacentral:rRNA from 1 species